GAACAAUUGGUCCAAAGGGACAAAAAGGAGAUACAGGAAGGCCAGGACUGCCUGGGCCACCUGGAUCAAAUGUGACCUUCAAAAACAAUAGCAUUAUUAUUAAAGGCGAAAAGG